CCCCCCACUCCACGACGGGGAAGGUCGCUGCCAAAAUCUAAAUUCCCUCCGUUCCUACGUGUCCUCUUCUCCUUCCUCUCGCCACGCUCCACCGCCUUCCUCCUCCUCGAUAUCCCCGCCGUCGUCGGCGGCGGCGGCCGGCCUUCGUCCGAUUAGGGUUUCCGGCGGCGGGCUCCGACGAGGGUUCUUUCUCCCCCCCUCGCUUUCGUCGCCGGCGGCGUUCGAUGGUGCUCGUCGGGUGAAGGGGUCGUCGGGAAGGUCUUUUUUUCGGGAAGAAGGUGAUGUACAUGGCGUCGAUGCGCAAGUCGUUCAAGGACUCCCUCAAGGUGCUGGAAGCCGACAUCCAGCACGCGAACACGCUGGCUUCAGAUUUUCCGGGGGAUUAUGAUGGUGCCUGUCUCCAAAUGAGAUUGUCGUAUAGUUCGGCUGCGCACCUGUUCCUCUUUCUGGUGCAAUGGACAGAUUGCUACCUUGCCGGUGCCCUUGGGUUCUUGAGAAUUCUUAUUUACAAGGUUCAUGUGGAUGGCACGACAACCAUGUCUAUGCAUGAGAGAAAAGCAAGUAUCAGAGAGUUCUAUGCUGUAAUUUAUCCCUCUCUGAUGCAACUUCAGAGAGGCAUUUCAGAUGCCGAAGAGAUAAUACAGAGGAAGUAUGCCUGGGGAGAUACUGCAGGAGAGAGGAAGAGGAACAUGCACUGCGCUCAGAUGUAGAUGCUGAAAGGGAAGAUGAAUGUGGAAUAUGCAUGGAGCUGAAUAGCAAAAUGGUACUGCCAAACUGCAACCAUGCUAUGUGCCUGAAAUGCUACCAUGAUUGGAGAAUGAUAUCCCAGUCAUGCCCUUUCUGUCGCGACAGUUUGAAGAGAGUGGACUCUGGUGAUCUCUGGGUACUUACUGACACCAGGGACAUAGUAGACAUGCAGACAGUAACCAGGGAGAAUCUUAGGAGGCUCUUCAUAUACAUAGAAAAGUUGCCACUGAUAAUCCCCGAGGCCCUUUUUGACACCUAUGAUUCUCACCUCAGGUGAAUGGCUCAACUUGAGCUAGUUCUUUGCACAGUUUUCUUUUAAUUUCUCCCCUUAAUAACCAAUUCCUGGUUGGUUUUCUUUUAUCCUUCUAAUGAAGCCAGCCUAAGUUAAUGUGGGCUGUAUGGCCUUAAGUUCAUUGCAAUUCUAUGUAUAAACUCAUUGCAAGAUGAACUCAACACUUGUGUAUAUAUGUUUGUAUAUAUUUGAACUUCCUUGAAAGUUA